rnacentral:rRNA from 1 species
UGGGGAAUAUUGCACAAUGGGCGAAAGCCUGAUGCAGCGACGCCGCGUGAGGGAUGACGGCCUUCGGGUUGUAAACCUCUUUCAGCAGGGAAGAAGCGAAAGUGACGGUACCUGCAGAAGAAGCGCCGGCUAACUACGUGCCAGCAGCCGCGGUAAUACGUAGGGCGCAAGCGUUGUCCGGAAUUAUUGGGCGUAAAGAGCUCGUAGGCGGUUAGUCGCGUCUGCUGUGAAAACUCGAGGCUCAACCUCGGGCUUGCAGUGGGUACGGGCUGACUAGAGUGCGGUAGGGGUGACUGGAAUUCCUGGUGUAGCGGUGGAAUGCGCAGAUAUCAGGAGGAACACCGAUGGCGAA